UUCAAUUUCAGAGAGGGCUAUGGUACUAGUCAGUUACAAACAAGUCACUUGCAAAAAUCAAAAACAACGUUCUGUUUUCUUGAAAUAGUUCGCAGACCGGUUUGUACGAGGCUGCAAUAUGGACAAGUCAUUACAUUGCCUCUACCAUUCAUCAUGGCCAUAAGUUACUUGCAAUGUCUAGGUUAUUUGUCUGCAAAAUUAAAAUUCAUUUACGGGUUAAACCUCGUUCGAGUUCGAAUCAGUGUUCCCGGUUGAGCUAACAGUGCACUACGAUCAAACGGUAUCUGGCUGGAAUCUUUGCGGUCGCAGGUCUUUCGACAUCCAUAAGCGCCGCAUAAGUAAGCGCUUCGGCAUAUCGGCUGGAUGGCAAUACUAUGGAAAUUGGGAAACUCUCGGAAUAUGUAAAUCACGAACGAGAAACCGAUGAAGUGGCCAAAACAGUCACAGGCCUGCUGUAUGGACAACUACUUUUGCCGUUAACUGCGUUCGCAACACGAUAGGACCGUGUCUAUUUGACGCUAUCCGUUAUUAAUCUACUACAAUAAGAGGAAAUGAGGCUCUAUAAUUACAGAGAGUGAACGGUGCGGAGAACGGGAACGGACCGAAGCCUGACAUUCUACAUGCUGCUACAGUACAGGUUGUCGUCAUCAUCACAUUGUCCAGCGAAGGGUUUCGACAAAUAUCAACAAUGGAGGUCGUAGGUAGGCAAAAGAUAGAACAAGAACGGGGAUCGGAAAAAAGACAGCAGGAAGCUUUUUCUUAGUUGAGAUCUUGGAUAUCGGAGAAACAUGUGUGUGACAGAGGGAUGAACUGCCGAGUUUAGCCUCUAGAUGCUGCUCGGCUUACUUUGGAUCUGGGGAUGCGCUCAUUUUUAGGCAUCAACAUCCCACUACAGACUAAAAAUGGCUGUAACAAUGGGCGGCCAGCAGCGGUGGCCGCAGUAGACGACGAGAAGGAGGCCGAGGACGAAGAAUCCAUGAACUGUUGCUUUAUUUCUCCGGUCCCGCAUCCCCGUCUUAUACUCUAACGCAUUUUCUUUUGCCGUCCUCCGUAGACCAUCAAGGUCUACGCCUUGAUAAUAUCCUCGACCCCCCUCGCCCACUAUCCUAAGUCAGGGAGAGGUUUACCUCCUCCAGCAUUGCCACGGAGCACACGCCAUGUCGGACGCAAGUUGGAAGCCCCUCAGGCAAACUGGACGUCAGAGGUUAGGAAACUAGUAGCACAUACAGACCAGCAUAGUUGGGAAAUUAUUAGCCGCUCUCUAGUCAUUAGCCGCCACUGAAAUCGGGGGUAGGCGGUGAGGCAAUGAACCAACUUUAUUAGGGGAACGUUAGGUCAGCAGGCUCGGCGUCACGCUGUUACUGCUGCUGCCGUUGAAGAGUAUUGUUGCUACUGCUACCUGCAACGAAAUGAGCAAUCGGACAGGCCUGCUUGAACUCACGUGCUACUAUUACUUAGGAAAGAAAGAGGAAGGAGAAGAGGACUACGUCAAGGAUAGCGGCAACGAUAGAAACGCUCCAAAAUGCGUCGGAUAGACACAAGUGAAUGGGCAGAGAUAGAAUCGGAUGCUUUCUGUACGGAUGGAUGUAUCAUGUCGGGAUGUAUUAUAAUACAUAGACGCUAUGUUAAAAAUUUUGACUGAUUAUUACCAAUGUUUUGCAGGGUUUGUGUGUAUACGCAGCCGCAGACGUACGUCAUGGCAAAGCUUACUUUAGUAAUCAAAAAGAAAUGUUUUUUGUGUUACAUUUUUUUUGCUUUCCAGAAAAACGUAUGUGUUCAUAUACUGAAAAAAGCCGUUUCUUAUUUUAAGCAACUGGAUGUUACGUGGUUAUAAGGUACAUUGUUAGUCAAACGCAAACCACCAGUUUUAUUGGCUAUUCAACUUAGAUUUAACAAGAAAAACCAUUUAAUUUGAGCUGUCAAUGUAGUGGCUGUUCCAUACAGGAAAGGAAAUAACUUAUGGCUAAUACGUAAAAAAAUUAGUUUGUCUGCGUUACGUAUGUACGAUUCAACAGACAUUCCCUGGCAGAAUUACUAGAACCUUUCAAAUAAAAGCAAA